rnacentral:rRNA from 1 species
UCUACGGGUGGCAGCAGUGAGGAAUCUUGGUCAAUGGGCGCGAGCCUGAACCAGCCAAGUCGCGUGAGGGAAGACGGCCCUACGGGUUGUAAACCUCUUUUGCCGGGGAUCCCCUUUCUCCCCUUGUGGCGCCCCUGCGCGUCCCCGGCGCCCCCGCCUCGGCUCCCUCCGUGCCCGCCGCCGCGGUCAUACGGCGUCUGCGAGCGUUAUCCGGCUUUAUUGUGUUUCCCGGUUUCUUCGUCGGAGCGUUACGUCCGUGGUCACAUUUCGGGGCUCAACCCCUUCCCGCCAUUGAAACUGGCGCUCUUGAGUGGAAGAGAAGUAUGCGGAAUGCGUGGUGUAGCGGUGAAAUGCAUAGAUAUCACGCAGAACCCCGAGGGCGAAGGCAGCAUGCCGGCUUCCUACUGACGCGGAAGCACGAAAGCGUGGGGAUCGAACAGGAUGAGAGACCCCGGUAGUC